UACGUAGGGGGCGAGCGUUGUCCGGAAUGAUUGGGCGUAAAGGGCGCGUAGGCGGCGAGUUAAGUCUGGAGCGAAAGUCCUGUUUUCAAGAUGGGAAUUGCUUUGGAUACUGAUUUGCUUGAGUGCAGGAGAGGUUAUCGGAAUUCCCGGUGUAGCGGUGAAAUGCGUAGAGAUCGGGAGGAACACCAGUGGCGAAGGCGGGUAACUGGACUGCAACUGACGCUGAGGCGCGAAAGCGUGGGUAUCAAAC
rnacentral:rRNA from 1 species